rnacentral:rRNA from 1 species
ACAGGUGUUGCAUGGCUGUCGUCAGCUCGUGUCGUGAGAUGUUCGGUUAAGUCCGCUAACGAGCGCAACCCUCGUCGUAUGUUAUAUGUGUCAUACGAGACUGCCGGUAAAAGCCGGAGGAAGGUGAGGAUGAUGUCAAGUCAGCAUGACCUUUAUAUCCAGGGCUACACACACGCUACAAUGGUCUGUACAAUGGGUAGCCAAGCCGCGAGGCGGAGCCAAUCCUGAAAGCAGGCCUCAGUUCAGAUUGCAGUCUGCAACUCGACUGCAUGAAGUUGGAGUUGCUAGUAAACGCAGGUCAGCUAUACUGCGUUGAAUACGUUCCCGGGGUUU